rnacentral:rRNA from 1 species
GAUGAACGCUGGCGGCGUGCCUAAUACAUGCAAGUCGAGCGAACAGACGAGGAGCUUUCUCCUCUGACGUUAGCGGCGGACGGGUGAGUAACACGUGGAUAACCUACCUAUAAGACUGGGAUAACUUCGGGAAACCGGAGCUAAUACCGGAUAAUAUAUUGAACCGCAUGGUUCAAUAGUUAAAGACGGUUUUGCUGUCACUUAUAGCUGGAUCCGCGCCGCAUUAGCUAGUUGGUAAGGUAACGGCUUACCAAGGAAACGAUGCGUAGCCGACCUGAGAGGGUGAUCGGCCACACUGGAACUGAGACACGGUCCAGACUCCUACGGGAGGCAGCAGUAGGGAAUCUUCCGCAAUGGGCGAAAGCCUGACGGAGCAACGCCGCGUGAGUGAUGAAGGUCUUCGGAUCGUAAAACUCUGUUAUUAGGGAAGAACAAAUGUGUAAGUAACUAUGCACGUCUUGACGGUACCUAAUCAGAAAGCCACGGCUAACUACGUG